UACGAGGGGGGCGAGCGUUGUUCGGAAUUAUUGGGCGUAAAGGGUGCGUAGGCGGGGCUUUAAGUCAGGGGUGAAAUCCUGGAGCUCAACUCCAGAACUGCCUUUGAUACUGAGGAUCUUGAGUUCGGGAGAGGUGAGUGGAACUGCGAGUGUAGAGGUGAAAUUCGUAGAUAUUCGCAAGAACACCAGUGGCGAAGGCGGCUCACUGGCCCGAUACUGACGCUGAGGCACGAAAGCGUGGGGAGCAAACAGG
rnacentral:rRNA from 1 species